rnacentral:rRNA from 1 species
ACGCUCGACACCUACGGGCGGCAGCAGUGGGGAAUAUUGCACAAUGGGGGAAACCCUGAUGCAGCGACGCCGCGUGAGCGAAGAAGUAUUUCGGUAUGUAAAGCUCUAUCAGCAGGGAAGAAGAAAGACGGUACCUGACUAAGAAGCCCCGGCUAACUACGUGCCAGCAGCCGUGGUAAUCUGAGCGGGCUGGCAAGGC